rnacentral:rRNA from 1 species
ACACGUAGCUAACCUACCCUUAGGUCAAGGAUAAUCUCGGGAAACUGAGGAUAAUACUUGAUAGAAAAUAUUUUCUGGAAUGAAAUAUUUUUUAAAUUCGAGCCUAAGGAUGGGGCUGCGGCUGAUUAGCUAGUUGUUGGUGUAAUAGACUAACAAGGCGAUGAUCAGUAAGGGCUCUUAGCGGAGAGGCCCUGAGAAGGAAUCUGAGACACUAUUCCUAGCUCUACGGGGUGCAGCAGUUAAGGAACUUUUCCAAUGCUCGAAAGAGUGAGAAAAUUAGCCAGAGUGUUUUCUUUACGAAAACUUUUAUCUGCUGUAAAAAGGCAGAUGAAUAAGGACUGGGCAAGACCGGCGCCAGCCGCCGCGGUAAUCCCGGCGGUCCAAGUCGCAUCCACAAUUAUUGGGUCUAAAACAUUCGUAGCUUGCUUUGUAAGUCUCUUGUGAAAUCUCAUAUCUCAAGUAUGAGGCGUGCAAGAGAUACUGCAUUGCUAGAGACCGGAAGACGCAAAGAGUAUGAUUGAGGUAGCGGUAAAAUGUGUUAAUCUUAAUCAGACUAACAAUGGCGAAGGCACUUUGCGAGUACGGAUCUGACAGUGAGGAAUGAAGGCUAGGGGCGCAAAAGGGAUUAGAUACCCCUGUAGUCCUAGCAGUAAACACUGCUCACUAAACAUUAGUACCUCCUCGAG